UGGGAUACAUCGUUCUGCCAAUCAACCCACGAUAAGGACAACUCCCAACUGAAGCUGCAUACACGCCUUUGUCUGCGGAUUUCGAGGAAGCCACCAUGCAAAAGGUUGUUCCAUGUUAUCCUAGUCUGAGAGGGAAGAUAAAACGCCCAUAAUGUUGAAGAUUCACAUCAAGUUUUCCCCAGCAUGGCUGUGAUAAUUGGAUUUUGCGGACACCUGUAUGAGUGCAGUAUAUCCAGGGGAUUAUAACCAGGGAUGGGUGAGUCAACUCUAAUUAUUGUCACAUUAACCCGUACAAACCGCCAGCCCCCC
rnacentral:lncRNA from 1 species